GAUGAACACUGGCGGCGUGCCUAAUACAUGCAAGUCGAGCGAACAGACGAGGAGCUUGCUCCUCUGACGUUAGCGGCGGACGGGUGAGUAACACGUGGAUAACCUACCUAUAAGACUGGGAUAACUUCGGGAAACCGGAGCUAAUACCGGAUAAUAUAUUGAACCGCAUGGUUCAAUAGUGAAAGACGGUUUUGCUGUCACUUAUAGAUGGAUCCGCGCCGCAUUAGCUAGUUGGUAAGGUAACGGCUUACCAAGGCAACGAUGCGUAGCCGACCUGAGAGGGUGAUCGGCCACACUGGAACUGAGACACGGUCCAGACUCCUACGGGAGGCAGCAGUAGGGAAUCUUCCGCAAUGGGCGAAAGCCUGACGGAGCAACGCCGCGUGGGUGAUGAAGGUCUUCGGAUCGUAAAACUCUGUUAUUAGGGAAGAACAAAUGUGUAAGUAACUAUGCACGUCUUGACGGUACCUAAUCAGAAAGCCACGGCUAACUACGUG
rnacentral:rRNA from 1 species